GCUAUUAUAGCGAAGGAAAGUUGUAUUGGAAUGUACAUUUAGUCCGUCUAUCUCUCUCAAGCAAUGCCAGUGCGGCGACAGUGUAGAAGCCAAAAUUGACAUUAUCAGAUAUUGUAGCUUUUCUUUUCGCAUGGUUUGAGUCGUUACCGUAUGUGAUUGGGUUCUCUUCAUAAAAAGUCUUUAUUCAGAAGAAGAAAAAUAGGGUUAUUGGAUUAGUUAGGAUAUAUGUUGAAUGAAUAAUGUCGGAAAUGUAAUGGUGUUUGUCUCAGGAAUGUAAAAGUAAGGAGAAUAGGAAAUGUGAGGAGUGUCUGCAUAGUACAGAGAUAUACAUCAUAGUUUGAAUGAAAAUAUUUUAAUAUAAUUGAGAUUAGACUGUCUAUCAGAACCAUUUUUCUGACUUUUUCACAUAUUUCUGGAAGACUGGCUACGAUUUCCCGGGGCGUUCUAGGAAUGGAGAAGGAAGACUUGAAGCGACAGGUAGAGAUGCUGCGGAUACAUAAAGAUUUACAGAGAAUGUUUGUCUCUGACGCUGUUAAAGAUAUGAUUUGCUUCAUCGACCAAAACAUUAAUGAAGAUGGUCUAGUAAUACCUCCAGAUAAGAAGAAGAAUCCUUGGGAUAAUUCAAGAAAGUGUUCAAUAUUGUAAAUUAAACAGUCAUGCAAUUUCAACAUUUUAUUAGCUGGUUAAUAUUAUGUGUAUUGAUAUUAUCAACAUACAGCUAUUAUUAGAGGUAUCACAUACAGUUUUUAUACUAGUAAUGUGCUAAUUUUGGAAUUUAAGAAAAAGGAUAUUGUUUAAGAUAGUUUCAGGUCAGUACGUAAAAGCAAGUUUUGUAUGUCGAAACCGGGACAUCAGUGUAUAUAUAAAUAAUAAUAAUGACAUGUAUUUUAUAUAUUAUUUAUGCAGAAAUGUGAUUCUUUCGUUUUAGGAUCCUAAAUGAAUUAUUGAAACGUCUAAAAUAACAGACUCCUGUUUUGUUUUAACUAAUGUAAGCAAAGGUUUGUGUCGUGUAAAUCUCCAGUAUUCAAACUGACAAACUGCAGAUUUGUAUCGCGGAAAAAAUGCAAGAAAAGUAAGACACAAGAUUUUCCCCUCACAAUCGUUCUCACUUAAAUUUCAUUAUAAUUUUGGUAACAAAACAUAUUUCCUUAUCAUGUACCAAAAUUGCAUACCAUGCGUAUUCAUUAUAUAGUAAAAAUA
rnacentral:lncRNA from 1 species